rnacentral:rRNA from 1 species
UGGGGAAUAUUGCGCAAUGGGCGAAAGCCUGACGCAGCGACGCCGCGUGAGGGAUGAAGGUUUUCGGAUCGUAAACCUCUGUCAGAAGGGAAGAAACCGCACUGUGCUAAUCAGCAGUGCCUUGACGGUACCUUCAAAGGAAGCACCGGCUAACUCCGUGCCAGCAGCCGCGGUAAUACGGAGGGUGCAAGCGUUAAUCGGAAUUACUUGGCGUAAAGCGCACGUAGGCUGCUUUGUAAGUCAGGGGUGAAAUCCCACGGCUCAACCGUGGAACUGCCUUUGAUACUGCUUAGCUUGAAUCCGGGAGAGGGUGGCGGAAUUCCAGGUGUAGGAGUGAAAUCCGUAGAUAUCUGGAGGAACAUCAGUGGCGAAGGCGGCCACCUGGACCGGUAUUGACGCUGAGGUGCGAAAGCGUGGGGAGCAAACAGG